rnacentral:rRNA from 1 species
GUAGGUGGCAAGCGUUGUCCGGAAUUAUUGGGGCGUAAAGCGCGCGCAGGCGGUUCUUUAAGUCUGAUGUGAAAGCCCACGGCUCAACCGUGAGGUCAUUGGAAACUGAGAACUUGAGUACAGAAGAGGAAAGCGGAAUUCCACGUGUAGCGGUGAAAUGCGUAGAGAUGUGGAGGAACACCAGUGGCGAAGGCGGCUUUCUGGUCUGUAACUGACGCUGAGGCGCGAAAGCGGGGGGAGCAAACAGGAUUAGAUGCCCUGGUAGUCCACGCCGUAAACGAUGAGUGCUAAGUGUUAGGGGGUUUCCGCCCCUUAGUGCUGCAGCUAACGCAUUAAGCACUCCGCCUGGGGAGUACGGCCGCAAAGGCUG